GCUCCCCCUACUUGUGUGAUUCAAAAUUUUAAAUGAUCCCCUUCUUUUAUCAUGUUACUCCCCUAUCUUUGUACUUCUCCCCUUUUAGAAAAUCUUUGGGAAAUUCUCUCCCCCUUUGUCAUCAAUGACCACAAAAGGUGAGCUCAAAUUUUAGAUAGGUUAGUGUGAGACCAUGUGAAGUGAGAUCAUUUUCCCAAAUUGGUCCAAUCUAGAUUACUUGCCUAAGAUAUUUAACUCGGU
rnacentral:lncRNA from 1 species